UAUAAUGUUUUAAAGUCAUAACUUUAACGAAGAAGUAUUCUUUUCAUUUCCAAAAUUAAUAUAUCAUAUAUAUGUUAAAUUUUAGGAAUAUGAUUAACUCCCACUAAUCUUUUGUAAACCUAGUAAACAAAAGAUUCAUUUACAUCUUUAUGAGAAAUCAAACGAUUUGAUCCUUUUCUCAUAAAAUGCUUAUAGCUCCCACUAGCUUGCUAAGAUUCAUGAUGGAUAGAUCUCUACAACUUACAUGUCUUGUGAUUUAUAGUUUUAGACAUAUAUUAUCAAGACUAUCUUAAUAAUGGUUUCGAAAACUCAUAUUAUGUCCAAACAUUGAAUCACCAUUUAGUUGUAGCUAGCAAUCUUCGAAUUAAUUGAAACCAAGACUAUCUCAAAAAUGGUUUCUUCAAAGUCACCCAUUCUCUUUGAUUGUAGUCACCUUAAGCUACCAAUUAGCUUAUGAAGGUUUCAUUAUUUCGGGUCAAAUGGU
rnacentral:lncRNA from 1 species